rnacentral:rRNA from 1 species
UACGAGGUGGACAAACGUUAUUCGGAUUUACUGGGCUUAAAGCGUGCGUAGGCGGCUCAGAAAGUUGGGUGUGAAAGCCCUCGGCUCAACCGAGGAAUUGCGCUCAAAACUACUGAGCUCGAGUGAGAUAGGGGAGAGCGGAACUGAUGGUGGAGCGGUGAAAUGCGUUGAUAUCAUCAGGAACACCGGUGGCGAAGGCGGCUCUCUGGAUCUUUACUGACGCUGAGGCACGAAAGCUAGGGGAGCAAACGGG